UGUGGCAGAAAAGUGCAGUAAACUUAAGAUUUUCUUACAAAUUUUAUUUCUUUAGAA
rnacentral:tRNA from 2 species